rnacentral:rRNA from 1 species
UCCGAGCCUUUUUUAGGGUGAGGGCGUACCUUUUGUAUAAUGGGUCAGUGACUUAAUUUAUUAAGCAAGCUUAAGCCAUCUAGGUGUAGGCGCAGCGAAAGCAAGUCUUAAUAGGGCGAUUAGUUUAAUGAAUUAGACCCGAAAACGAAUGAGCUUACCAUGAGCAGGUUGAAAGUUGGGUAACACCAACCGGAGGACCGAACCAGUUGACGUUGAAAAGUCUUUGGAUGACUUGUGGUAAGGGGUGAAAGGCCAACCAAAUUCGUAGAUAGCUGGUUUUCCGCGAAAACUAUUUAGGUAGUGCGUUGAAUAAAUAGAUGUUUAGAGGUAGAGCACUAAAUGGGCUAGGGGGAAGAGAUUCUUACCAAACCUAAUAAAACUCCGAAUGCUAGACAUUGUUCUUCAACAGACAGACUGUGGGUGCUAAGGUCCAUGGUCGAGAGGGAAAGAGCCCAGACCACCAGAUAAGGUCCCAAAAUUAUGAUUAAGUGUGAAAGGAUGUGGAAAUUCCUUAACAGCCGGGAGGUUGGCUUAGAAGCAGCCAUCCUUUAAAGAUAGCGUAACAGCUCACCGGUCUAAUAGAGUUUCUGCGCCGAAGAUGUAACGGGGCUAAAAUCAUAUACCGAAUCUGUGGGUUUAUAAAACUUUCGAGUUUUAUAAGCGGUAGCGGAACGUUCUGUAAGCCUGUGAAGGGAUACCCGUGAGGGAUUCUGGAGGUAUCAGAAGUGCGAAUGCUGACAUAAGUAACGAUAAAAGAAGUGAAAAACUUCUUCGCCGAAAAUCUAAGGGUUUCUGCGCAAGGUUAAUCCGCGCAGAGUUAGUCGGCACCUAAGGCGAGGGCGAAAGCCGUAGUCGAUGGAAACAAGGUUAAUAUUCCUUGACCUGGUGGUAGUGACGGAUUCCGUAAGUUGUGAGUUCUUAAUGGAUUGAACUUGCCGCGAAGGGGUCCCAAGAAAUAGCUCCAUCAUUAAGACCGUACCCGAAACCGACACAGGUAGAUUAAUAGAGUAUAUUUAGGCGCUUGAGAGAAUGAUGUUGAAGGAACUCGGCAAAAUGCUUCCGUAACUUCGGGAUAAGGAAGACCUGUUUGUAGGCAACUAUAGGAGGGUGGCACAAGCCAGGGAGAAGCGACUGUUUAUCAAAAACACAGGGCUCUGCUAACACGUAAGUGGAUGUAUAGGGUCUGACGCCUGCCCGGUGCUGGAAGGUUAAUGCGGUUGGUGCAAGCUAACUUCUGAAGCCCCAGUAAACGGCGGCCGUAACUAUAACGGUCCUAAGGUAGCGAAAUUCCUUGUCGGGUAAGUUCCGACCUGCAUGAAUGGCGUAACGAUUUCUCCGCUGUCUCCAACAUCAACUCAGUGAAAUUGAAUUCUCCGUGAAGAUGCGGAGUUCGCGUAGUUAGACGGAAAGACCCCGUGCACCUUUACUGCAACUUUACAUUGGUAUUAGGAAAAACAUAUUUAGUAUAGGAGGGAGACAUUGAAGCAGAAGCGUCAGCUUUUGUGGAGUCACCAGUGAAAUACCUCUUUUGUUUUUCUUGAUAUCUAACCGAUUGCCGUCAUCCGGCAUCGAGACAUUGUAUGGUGGGUAGUUUGACUGGGGCGGUCGCCUCCCAAAUAGUAACGGAGGCGUGCGAAGGUAGGCUCAGAACGGUCAGAAAUCGUUCGUAGAGUGCAAUGGCAUAAGCCUGCCUGACUGUGAGACUGACAAGUCGAGCAGAGACGAAAGUCGGUCAUAGUGAUCCGGUGGUUCUGAGUGGAAGGGCCAUCGCUCAACGGAUAAAAGGUACGCC